rnacentral:sRNA from 2 species
UUUUCCAGUGAUCAGGAACCUCCCUAUUCAAUGAUAACAUUACACGAAAUGGCAGAAACAGAUGAAGGAUGGUUGGAUGUUGUCCAGUCUUUAAUUAGAGUUAUUCCACUGGAAGAUCCACUGGGACCAGCUGUUAUAACAUUGUUACUAGAUGAAUGUCCAUUGCCCACUAAAGAUGCACUCCAGAAAUUGACUGAAAUUCUCAAUUUAAAUGGAGAAGUAGCUUGCCAGGACUCAAGCCAUCCUGCCAAACACAGGAACACAUCUGCAGUCCUAGGCUGCUUGGCCGAGAAACUAGCAGGUCCUGCAAGUAUAGGUUUACUUAGCCCAGGAAUACUGGAAUAUUUGCUACAGUGUCUGGUGAAAAUAAAUUGACUAUUUCUGAAUCCAGUAUUAGUGACCGGCUUGUCACAUUGGAGUCCUGGGCUAAUGAUCCUGAUUAUCUGAAACGUCAAGUUGGUUUCUGUGCCCAGUGGAGCUUAGACAAUCUCUUUUUAAAAGAAGGUAGACAGCUGACCUAUGAGAAAGUGAACUUGAGUAGCAUUAGGGCCAUGCUGAAUAGCAAUGAUGUCAGCGAGUACCUGA